GCCGGUUUAGCUCAGUUGGCAGAGCAGCGCAUUCGUAAUGCGCAGGUCCGGGGUUCAAGUCCCCGAACCGGCU
rnacentral:tRNA from 1 species